CUAAACCAUGCGUUUUAGGCCUUAUGGGAUAUGUAAUGUAUUGUCAUAAAGAGUUUAAUUAUAAUGAUAACAUUCGCCUAGGAACUCAGUUGGUGAAGGCCACAGGACUGAAUUCAACAACCAUGUCUAAUAAGAAGACUAGUAAAUAAAGUAAUGGGUGGUACUCGGAAAAUCACUCCAAAAAAGUCACAGUGACUAUCGGUUUGAGUAAUGACAACUUAAUCACGUUCAGUAACUGUGACCGACUGCCUUGAUUCAGUCUUAUGUGGAACAAUUUGAAAAUGUGGUUUUUACAUUGGAUAAAAGCAGAGACACAGAGCUACAAAAUGGUAUAUCAUACACUGCAUUUGAGGAACAAUGGGAAAGUCAUUCUGCUUUGAAAGUUGAUAAACUUGUAACCUCACUUUUGAGAAAAUGGCCUUGGAAUGUGUUGGUACCAACUGGAGAGCUCUUCUUUGUCUACACCCAUUCAGCAUCGUUCACACCCGCUGAAGCUUUUGACGACCCAGCACACACUGGCCGAUAAGUAGGGUUGAUCCGUUCUGACCUCGCAACGAGCGUUCUGACCUCACAACGGCAGUCAAGCACCCAAGCUAAUUGGCUAAAAUUAGCUAGCUUGCUAGCUACUUCCAGAUACAAAUGAGAGAACAUCCCACUUUGACUAUUUUACUCGCCCUAGCAGAGCUGGUUAGGCUGUUUUCAUGUUAUCCAGAGCAUUGGUGACUAUAACUGUGAUGCUGUGAUGCUGACGUUUACUGACACCGGCCAUAUUCAAACGGGUGUUGAGCGUUCGUAAAUUAAUCAGCUAUACUGCACUCUGGCACACUCAGACGAGAGUGCUCUGAAAUCGGAGUAGAUGGCCAGACUGAAUUUACGAACACACCCAAAAUGGUUACUUGCGUAGUGGAGUCUUUUGUUAAGACAUGUAGCUAGCUAGCUAGGUAAACAAUGAACCAUAAUCCCAACUCAUUACAUUACUACCCUGCAUGAAUCUACAGGUAGCUAACCAACCAGGUUCAAUGUUAUCUAGCUAACAUUAGGCUAUAACUAGCCAAGCAGAUGGCUCUGAGAUACGAAUAAUAAGAUCAUACACAUAACGUUAGCUAGCGAGCAAGCCAGCUAACGUUAGCUAGCUAGCUAACAGUACACAUUAACUUGAAAUGAAAAUGACUUUGUCAAAAUUAGAAAUGUGUAAUAUCUGAAACUGUAGCUAGCUAGACUAUCUUACCCGUGUGCAGCAUGUUUGGACAUUUCUCCCUGGCACGGAUGCUAUUGUUGACCUUUAUUUGAUCCGGAGACAGGUGUUUUCUCUAUCUCCUUAGCUAUCACACUCUAAUUCCACUGAUUUCAAAACUCGGCCCUCCAGAAAGUGGAGAACAAUAUAUUUAUUUUUUAAAGCCGCAUUUAAAAGUUUUACCUACACAUACUCACCAGCUCAAAUAGACAGAAGCGUGCUAUAUGGCAGACCAAUCUGAACGCAUCUCUCGGUAUGUCUAGCCCACUCAUUAUCUCAGCCAAUCAUGGGUAGCGAGAAGGUUGCCUCUUUUUCUGUGGCUAAACCAACUAGGCUCGUAAUUUAACAAUUUUAUCCAUAUUUACCGAUGGUAUACAAGUUUCUUAUUGGCAUUUCUGCCAAAAAAUCCAUUUUGAUUUUCUCAUGUUAAGUAGUGACCUGCGACAUAUGCCUAGUUUCCUGAAUGGGUCUCUGCAGCACUCCACCAAUCAGGCCUUUAUGGUAGAGUGUCCAAACGGAAGCCACUCCUCAGUAAAAGGCACAUGACAGCCCGCUUGGAGUUUGCCAAAAAGCAGGAUUCUCAGACGAUGAGAAACAAGAUUCUCUGGUCUGAUGAAACCAAGAUUGAACACUUUGGCCCAAAUGCCAAGCGUCAUGUCUGGAGGAAACCCAGCACCCUCCCUGCGGUGAAGCAUAGUGGGGGCAGCAUCAUGCUGUGGAGAUGUUUUUGUUUGCGGCAGGGACUGGGAGACUAGUCAUGAUCGAGGGAAAGAUGAACAGAGCAAAGUACAGAGAGAUCCUGGAUGAAAACCUGCUCCAGAGCCCUCAGGGCAGGAUUGGGGGUGAAGGUUCAUCUACCAAAAGGACAACGACCCUAAGCACACAGCCAAGACAACGCAGGAGUAGCUUCGGGACAAGUCUCUGAAUGUCCUUGAGUGGCCCAGCCAGAGCUCGGACUUGAACCCAUCGAACAUCUCUGGAGAGACCUGGAAAUAGCUGUGCAGCUGUGCAGAGUUUGAGAAGAUCUGCAGAGAAGAAUGGGAGAAACUCCCCAAAUACAGGUAUGCAAAGCUUGUAGUUUCAUACCCAAAGAAGACUUGAGGCUGUAAUCGCUGCCAAAGGUGUAUUCAGUAAGGGUCUGAAUGUAAAUAACAUAGAUGUGAUAUUUCAGUUGUUUUUGCUGUUUUUGCUUUGUCGUUAUGGGGUAUUGUGUGUAGAUUGAUGAGGGAAAAAAACAAUUAAAUCAAUUUUAGAAUAAGGCUGAAAUGUUACAAAAUGUGGAAAAAAAUCAAUGGGUCUGAAUACUUUCCUGAAUGCACUAUAGUAUAACGGGUUUCCUCAAAAGUUUUGAAUAAUGGCAGCGCAUUGGGGUUUGCAGUGCAUCAUCAUCACAUAGAACUGAGCUCUCUAGAGAGCACUCAACUGCUUCACAGCACUCACUAUGUCUGUAGCUUGGUCUAUUCUCUUACCCCUCCCCUGAUGGAACAGAAAGUAAAAAGACUACUAGUGCAGAGUGAUGUUGACUUGCGCAUGUGUGUGUGAGCUUAAUGUCAGACAGGCAGUUGGCAGGCCGUGCAAUAACAGGCUCCUGUUCGAGUCUUGCAGACUCAUGCCAUUUUAAGUAAACAGCCAGCAUAGACCAGGGGCUUGUCCACACACACACACACACACACACACACACACACACACACACACACACACACACACACACACACACACACACACACACACACACACACACACACACACACACACACACACACACACACACACACACAUCUCUGGUCUAAACAGCCUCUCUGGUUUCUGCCAGUCCUCCAGUUGGGUCUCACACACAGAAUCCUGUCCAUUUCACAGUUCAUUUUAUCCUGAUUUAGAGAUAUAUGCUGCCGGUGCGGCAGGGUAGCCUAGUGGUUAGAGCGUUGGACUAGUAACCGAAAGGUUGCAAGUUCGAAUCCCCGAGCUGACAAGGUACAAAUCUGUCGUUCUGCCCCUGAACAGGCAGUUAACCCACUGUUCCCAAGCCGUCAUUGAAAAUAAUGUUCUUAACUGACUUGCCUGGUUAAAUAAAGGUAAAGUUGUGUACAGACUUAAAUGUUCCAUAAUACAUGUACUUUAUAUUAAAGGAGGUCUUAAAUGUUCCAGACGACAUGUACUUUAUAUUAAAGGAGGACUUAAAUGUUCCAGACUACAUGUACUUUAUAUUAAAGGAGGACUUAAAUGUUCCAGACUACAUGUACUUUAUAUUAAAGGAGGACUUAAAUGUUCCAGACUACAUGUACUUUAUAUUAAAGGAGGUCUUAAAUGUUCCAUAAUACAUGUACUUUAUAUUAAAGAAGGACUUAAAUGUUCCAGACUACAUGUACUUUAUAUUAAAGGAGGACUUAAAUGUUCCAGACUACAUGUACUUUAUAUUAAAGGAGGACUUAAAUGUUCCAGACUACAUGUACUUUAUAUUAAAGGAGGUCUUAAAUGUUCCAGACUACAUGUACUUUAUAUUAAAGGAGGUCUUAAAU